rnacentral:lncRNA from 1 species
AAGAAAGUUCUACUUCGUCCGGUGAACAAGGCGCGGAAUCAACUACAGCAAACCUGUUCUAUGAGUUUUGGAAUCGGACCAAGUCCGCAUGGGUUGUCCGAUCAACGGGUGACGUCCAUCAAUGCUUGCGGGAAAUCCGUGACAGCAUUAGCGAGGCCAACGUGUCUCUUCGCAAAGAGUACAAAGACCAACGUCGCCCACCAUCAUCUUUACUCUGGGUAUUCGAAGGAAACGACACAAUGGUACAUGAUGGUG